AGAACGAACGCUGGCGGCAGGCUUAACACAUGCAAGUCGAACGGUUGUAGCAAUACAGCAGUGGCAGACGGGUGAGUAACACGUGGGAACCUUCCUAGGGGUACGGAACAACUCAGGGACACUUGAGCUAAUACCGUAUACGUCCGUGAGGAGAAAGUUUUAACGCCCCUAGACGGGCCCGCGUAGGAUUAGGUAGUUGGUGAGGUAACGGCUCACCAAGCCUACGAUCCUUAGCUGAUCUGAGAGGAUGAUCAGCCACACUGGGACUGAGACACGGCCCAGACUCCUACGGGAGCAGCAGUGGGAAUCGUUGGACAACGGGCGCAAGCCUGAUCCAGCCAUCGCGCGUGAGUAGAAGAAGGCCUUCGGGUUAGUAAGUCUCGUUUUAACCGAGGACGAUAAGUGACGGUACCGUAGGACGUAAGUAACGCCCCCGGUACAAACCGUU
rnacentral:rRNA from 1 species